UGGGAAAAUACGUCCCGCGACGGCAGCCUUCAUUGCCAGUAGCCAGCACAAAAAAGGUGAGAACUCAAAGGGGACUGCCGGUGAUAAACCGGAGGAAGGUGGGGAUGACGUCAAGUCCUCAUGCCCCUUAAGAGUGGGGGUACCCACGUCAUACCAAGGGCAGAUACAAAAGAGAAGCGAACCUCGGAAGCACAACACACACCCCCCAUAAAGCCAUGUCGAAGUCGGGUAGGAGUCUGCAACUUAAAAUCCAGAAAGUCGGAAUCGCUAGAAAAAAGGGAUCCGGAAGUCGCGGGGGAAAACGUUCCCGGGUCCCUUUUUUGGCCGACCGUCCCCCCCAUGGGAAUGUCUCCGGCCGAAGCCCCGCCCCUCCUCCCA
rnacentral:rRNA from 1 species